UACAUUUCAGAAACAUUGAUAAUCAUUGUUUUAGUCUAACAAGUCAUGAAACAAACUUUUGCCAGCAGCCGGUCCGGUAACAUGAUAAAACACCGUAUUGUAUCACGACCACCUGCACAUGGAUGCAUCGGAGCAUGGACCAAGAGCGAGCUCAAUCUUUUAAGAGAACGGUGAGUGCGUCACAUAGAAUUGUAUGCCGUUAUCUUCCAACCGUACAACUUCAGCCACUUACGUUAGCCCAGCCAGUCCAAGAUUCCUAUGAAAAGGCUCGAAGGAGGCUUGUGAAGUUCUGCAAAGGCAAAGGUUUGGAGUCGACACGAGGACAGUGUGCGGAAAAGUACUAUCGUCGAAAUAUGUUGAAUUUGGGCCUACAUCAGCCCCUCCAUCUGCAGUCUCAGGAAGACCUCCAGUGCAGGCCUCAACAAGCAGGCUCCACACAGGUAAACAGCACAGAUGAAAACAUACAGUGGUAUAGCGUGUACUGAUUCUGUUUCUUACUGUUCCAUAUGCAGAGACAAUGGAAAGACCCAAAAACUGAUUCUGCAGUAAUGGAGCAAAAUGCCAGACCUGGCCAGCCAUACCACCAUUUCCAUUAUGAACACCUGCAGUGACAGUUCCAGAUCUGACAGUACUAACACUACAUAGGAUUCUGAUGUAUCAGAUGAUGGGGUUGUCCCCCAAAAGAUGUUCGAGAACAUCAAAAGGGCGUACCAGGAAUUAAAAAACAAAAACAAAAAAAUAUCCGCUGAAAAUGAAGACCUCAAACAAAGAUACAAAGAUUUGGAAAUGCAAAACACAAAAACAACAAAAGAAAGGGAUGGUUUCCGUGCAGCCAUAGAGGCAAUUAACAGGAACACUGCACGAGUGUUGGGAGGUCAUCCUAUAGCCCAAUCAGAGUCGCAAAUCAUGGCUGAUGCAGUCUGCCCAGGACCACCUCCCUGCUCUGAUGGCAAGGUACAU